rnacentral:rRNA from 1 species
UACAGAGGGGGCAAGCGUUGUUCGGAAUUACUGGGCGUAAAGGGCGCGUAGGCGGCCUGUUAAGUCGAACGUGAAAUCCCCGGGCUCAACCCGGGAACUGCGUCCGAAACUGGCAGGCUUGAGUUCGGGAGAGGGAUGCGGAAUUCCAGGUGUAGCGGUGAAAUGCGUAGAUAUCUGGAGGAACACCGGUGGCGAAGGCGGCAUCCUGGACCGACACUGACACUGAGGAGCGAAAGCCAGGGGAGCAAACGGG